rnacentral:rRNA from 1 species
AUUGAUCGCUGGCGGCAGGCCUAACACAUGCAAGUCGAGCGGAUGAAGGGAGCUUGCUCCUGGAUUCAGCGGCGGACGGGUGAGUAAUGCCUAGGAAUCUGCCUGGUAGUGGGGGAUAACGUCCGGAAACGGGCGCUAAUACCGCAUAUGUCCUGAGGGAGAAAGUGGGGGAUCUUCGGACCUCACGCUAUCAGAUGAGCCUAGGUCGGAUUAGCUAGUUGGUGGGGUAAAGGCCUACCAAGGCGACGAUCCGUAACUGGUCUGAGAGGAUGAUCAGUCACACUGGAACUGAGACACGGUCCAGACUCCUACGGGAGGCAGCAGUGGGGAAUAUUGGACAAUGGGCGAAAGCCUGAUCCAGCCAUGCCGCGUGUGUGAAGAAGGUCUUCGGAUUGUAAAGCACUUUAAGUUGGGAGGAAGGGCAGUAAGUUAAUACCUUGCUGUUUUGACGUUACCAACAGAAUAAGCACCGGCUAACUUCGUG